CACGUAGGGGGCAAGCGUUGUCCGGAUUUAUUGGGCGUAAAGAGCUCGUAGGUGGCUGAGUAAGUCGGAUGUCAAAUACCCAGGCUCAACCUGGGACACCACCCGAUACUGCUCUGGCUAGAGUCCGGUAGGGGAGCAUGGAAUUCCUGGUGUAGCGGUGAAAUGCGCAGAUAUCAGGAGGAACACCAGCGGCGAAGGCGGUGCUCUGGGCCGGAACUGACACUGAGGAGCGAAAGCGUGGGGAGCGAACAGG
rnacentral:rRNA from 1 species